ensembl:snRNA U6 U6 spliceosomal RNA
GGUGCUCAUUUCAGCAGCUCAUACUAAAGUUAGAAUGACACAGAGAAGAUAGGCAUGGCCUCAUUGUAAGGAUGAUGUACACAUUCAUAAAGCAUUUAUAUUUUAA